AACGAACGCUGGCGGCAUGCCUAACACAUGCAAGUCGAACGAGACCUUCGUGUCUAGUGGCGCACGGGUGCGUAACGCCGGGGAACCUGCCCUUAGGUUCGGAAUAACUCCCUGAAAGAGGUGUUAAUACCGGAUAAUGUCUUCGGACCAAAGAUUUAUCGCCUUUGGAUGGGCCCGCGUUGGAUUAGCUGGUUGGUAGGGUAAAAGCCUACCAAGGCGACGAUCCAUAGCUGGUCUGAGAGGAUGAUCAGCCACACUGGGACUGAGACACGGCCCAGACUCCUACGGGAGGCAGCAGUGGGGAAUAUUGGACAAUGGGCGAUAGCCUGAUCCAGCAAUGCCGCGUGAGUGAUGAAGGCCUUAGGGUUGUAAAGCUCUUUUACCCGGGAUGAUAAUGACAGUACCGGGAGAAUAAGCGCCGGCUAACUCCGUG
rnacentral:rRNA from 1 species